UACGGGGGGGUGCAAGCGUUGCUCGGAAUCACUGGGCGUAAAGCGUCCGCAGGUGGGUGUGUGUGUCGGAUGUGAAAGCCCCAGGGGCUCAACCCUGGAAUGCAUUCGAAACUGCACAUCUUGAGUACGGGAGAGGGGAAGCAGAAUUCCUGGUGUAGAGGUGAAAUUCGUAGAUAUCAGGAGGAAUACCUGUGGCGAAAGCGGCUUCCUGGUCCGAUACUGACACUCAUGGACGAAAGCGCGGGGGAGCAAACAG
rnacentral:rRNA from 1 species